UACGAAGGGGGCUAGCGUUGCUCGGAAUCACUGGGCGUAAAGCGCACGUAGGCGGCUUGUUAAGUCAGGGGUGAAAUCCUGGAGCUCAACUCCAGAACUGCCUUUGAUACUGGCGAUCUUGAGUUCGGGAGAGGUGAGUGGAACUGCGAGUGUAGAGGUGAAAUUCGUAGAUAUUCGCAAGAACACCAGUGGCGAAGGCGGCUCACUGGCCCGAUACUGACGCUGAGGUGCGAAAGCGUGGGGAGCAAACAGG
rnacentral:rRNA from 1 species